rnacentral:lncRNA from 1 species
GCGGCAUGUUUGUUUUUCAGUGUGUAAACAUUGGUAGAUUCAAAAAUAAACCAAGAAAGUUAUAAGCCAGCAUACUUAUUGGGGGGUGUUUCAACUUUUUUUUUCUCUUAAAGAACCCGUCUUCAACCAGUUUUGUAACGACAUAAAUAAGAUUUGUUUCAAUUUUUGUAUUUUGAUUUGUAAUCGGGACACUUAUUUUGUUUUACCGUCACCGCUAUGGUAAAAUAAUUAUAUUCAAAAUAGCUGCUGCAGAUUGGAAACACUGUAUGUAGUGUGCCGGUAGAUAGUUUGAAACUCGAAACUCGCAUAUUGAUAAUGUAAAAUACAUGAAAUUAAAAAAAAUGACACUUCUAAAGUUUGAUCGUCGUUUCAAAAGUGAGGCAUUUGCCUCAUUUGCCUCCAUUACGCUACGGCCCUGCAUACGGGAAUCUGACAAAACAGUAGGCAGGAUCCGGGAUCGGAACCCCCCAAUGAGACCCCCAUUUGGGUGUUUAGUUUGGUACUAUCCUAUAGGGUUACUUAGAAGACACAGAUUAGAAGAAGACCUGCAGGAACAGUUUGAUCUUCGUUUUGAAAGUAACAAAGAAUUCAGCAUAGACAUUUUUGACACUAUAAACACAGCAAUAUAGAGUUUUAACAUAAUUUGUAACUAAGCUAAAAAGUACCUCCAUUUAUUCAUUUUUUUGUAUCUCAAAUCUUUUCCUCUCUUCCGUUAUUUAUUAUCAUGUUUUCAACAGUUUAAUUUUCCAUUUUUUUCUUUUUUAUUGUUGCGUGUUUAUUUUACCUAUAUGCAGAAUGCCUAUUUGAUUUCUUGUGGUCAUAAAAUGAUUCUGAUGUCUACAUAAUCAUGAAACUUAAUUACUUCUUUAAAGUGUCUUAAAAAUUUCAAAAUGAUUAGGUUUUCCAAAUUUUAACAAAUCUCUGUUUGAAAAGAUGUAACACAGAUAAUUAGAUGGAUAUCAGAGUUUUAAUUAGUUCAUAAUACUAAAAAAUCAUCUUUGACCUUGACCAUGUGAAUGAUCUAGUUUAACAAAAUAAAUUCUGCACUAAGAUUAUAAAGAAUUUUGAUCAUCAAACAUUAUGAAUGAAUAUUAAUCUACGAUCAAAGAAUAUCUUAAAACAUUACAUAACCAAUUUUUUUUAAAUGUUCAUUUCUAGACGAGAUUAAACUGUGAGGCUAUCAGUCAAAUGGAUCAGACUAACAGAUAUUCAACUGUU